rnacentral:rRNA from 1 species
GUGGGGAAUUUUGGACAAUGGGCGCAAGCCUGAUCCAGCCAUGCCGCGUGAGUGAAGAAGGCCUUCGGGUUGUAAAGCUCUUUCGGCCGGGAAGAAAUCGGCGACUCUAACAUAGUCGCUGGAUGACGGUACCGGACUAAGAAGCACCGGCUAACUACGUGCCAGCAGCCGCGGUAAUACGUAGGGUGCGAGCGUUAAUCGGAAUUACUGGGCGUAAAGCGUGCGCAGGCGGUUUUGUAAGAUCGAUGUGAAAUCCCCGGGCUCAACCUGGGAACUGCAUUGGUGACUGCAAGGCUGGAGUGCGGCAGAGGGGGAUGGAAUUCCGCGUGUAGCAGUGAAAUGCGUAGAUAUGCGGAGGAACACCGAUGGCGAAGGCAAUCCCCUGGGCCUGCACUGACGCUCAUGCACGAAAGCGUGGGGAGCAAACAGGAUUAGAAACCCCAGUAGUCC